UCUAAAACAAUCUCUCUCGGGGGCCACGUGACCCGACCCAGUCGCAGCGCGCGAUUGCCCACGUUGCUGCUUCCCUUUCGCCACCGCCAGUCUACCUGCUCUCCCUUCGAUUCUUGGAUCAAAAAGCAUUGGGAAUGGCGGAUUCAUCUGCUCUAUGGGAAUCCGUCCCCUUCGAUUCUUGAAGGUGGCCGCGUCGGGGGCGAUCCCUACGGGCCUUACUCCUGGGAAUAAAUCCUUCCCCUUCUCCGAAGGUUGUCGCGGCAGAGAAAGUGAGCAGCGGAGGGUUGCAGAAGAAGCUCGUUAUGACCAUCGCAGUGCCACUGCUUUGGGGCGUUCCACCUGCCUCUGGGACCCUCUGCGUUGCAGUUCGUAGUGGGGUUGGUAGGUAUUGUAGAAAAGAUAUAUCGGCAGUGGAACUUUUUGUAAAUUACAAACAGUGUAUCGCGAGCAUCAGCAAAUUACAGGAGAUGUUAUGUACAAAUGACUCAAAAUAGGUCUUGGUAAGUUAUCCCAUUGUAUAUAUAUAAUCUUUUAUUGUUAGUUUUCAUCAGAGGAGAUUUCAAACCCUUUAAAAUAAGAAAAGCGACUUAAGUACAUUUGCAUCA